AGCCACCACAUGACUAUGGCCUGUUUCUCCUGAUGGAGGCCACUUUGUCCUAUACACAGUUUUAUACACAGAAUUUGCCCAUUGGUCCUGCUGUUGUCAUGACAGUACCCCACUACUUUCAUUUUUGUAGUUUUGUGUGUUAAUAUGUACUGUUAUACUUUUUUUUCCCUAAAGAAACAGCCCUUUAUAAAAAGCCAAAGUUUCAAAAACAAGUUAAAUAUUAACUGGGGCUUUGAUUAUAAUUACAUUAAAUCUAUAAACUUGGUAUCUCAGAGCUAUGUACAUGUACGGUAGGUAUCUCAGAGCUAUGCACAUGUAUGGUAGGUGUCUCAGAGCUAUGCACAUGUAUGGUAGGUGUCUCAGAGCUAUGCACAUGUAUGGUAGGUGUCUCAGAGCUAUGCACAUGUAUGGUAGGUGUCUCAGAGCUAUGCACAUGUAUGGUAGGUGUCUCAGAGCUAUGCACAUGUAUGGUAGGUGUCUCAGAGCUAUGCACAUGUAUGGUAGGUGUCUCAGAGCUAUGCACAUGUAUGGUAGGUGUCUCAGAGCUAUGCACAUGUAUGGUAGGUGUCUCAGAGCUAUGCACAUGUAUGGUAGGUGUCUCAGAGCUAUGCACAUGUAUGGUAGGUGUCUCAGAGCUAUGCACAUGUAUGGUAGGUAUCUCAGAGCUAUGCACAUGUAUGGUAGGUGUCUCAGAGCUAUGCACAUGUAUGGUAGGUGUCUCAGAGCUAUGCACAUGUAUGGUAGGUGUCUCAGAGCUAUGCACAUGUAUGGUAGGUGUCUCAGAGCUAUGCACAUGUAUGGUAGGUGUCUCAGAGCUAUGUACAUGUAUGGUAGGUGUCUCAGAGCUAUGCACAUGUAUGGUAGGUGUCUCAGAGCUAUGCACAUGUAUGGUAGGUGUCUCAGAGCUAUGUACAUGU